ensembl:snRNA
GUAUUAUAUGAAAGGAGAGAAUGUUAACACUCCCCUUGAUAAGAGUGAAAGAGUUGUUAGUGGUAAGGCAUUGCCACCUACUCUGUGGCAUUUAACUAUGGUAC